rnacentral:rRNA from 1 species
CAGAGGGUGCGAGCGUUAAUCGGAAUUACUGGGCGUAAAGGGCGCGUAGGCGGUUUUGUAAGUUAUGUGUGAAAACCUUGGGCUUAACCUGGGACGUGCACAUAAUACUGUGGAACUAGAGUAGAGUAGAGGAAAGUGGAAUUUCCGGUGUAGCGGUGAAAUGCGUAGAUAUCGGAAGGAACACCAGUGGCGAAGGCGGCUUUCUGGGCUCAUACUGACGCUGAGGCGCGAAAGCGUGGGGAGCAAACAGGAUUAGAUACCCUGGUAGUCCAUGCUGUAAACGAUGAAGACUAGAUGUUGUUUGGAUAAAACCAGCCAGUAUCGAAGCAAAACGCGAUAAAGUCUUCCGCCUGGGGAGUACGGUCGCAAGAUUAA